AGUUCUGAGUUUGGCAACAGUACACUAAAACUGCAACAAUCAGAGAUUAGCAUGGUGCCUGGGCAAGGAUGACAAACAAAUUUGUAAAGAAUUUCAUAUUUUU
ensembl:snRNA U6 U6 spliceosomal RNA